UACGUAGGGCGCAAGCGUUGUCCGGAUUUAUUGGGCGUAAAGAGCUCGUAGGCGGCCUGUCGCGUCUGCUGUGAAAUCCCGGGGCUUAACCCCGGGCGUGCAGUGGAUACGGGCUGGCUGGAGGCAGGCAGGGGAGAAUGGAAUUCCCGGUGUAGCGGUGAAAUGCGCAGAUAUCGGGAGGAACACCGGUGGCGAAGGCGGUUCUCUGGGCCUGUUCUGACGCUGAGGAGCGAAAGCAUGGGGAGCGAACAGG
rnacentral:rRNA from 1 species